rnacentral:rRNA from 1 species
UAUCCUGUCUGAAUAUGGGGGGACCAUCCUCCAAGGCUAAAUACUCCUGACUGACCGAUAGUGAACCAGUACCGUGAGGGAAAGGCGAAAAGAACCCCGGCGAGGGGAGUGAAAAAGAACCUGAAACCGUGUACGUACAAGCAGUGGGAGCACGCUUCGGCGUGUGACUGCGUACCUUUUGUAUAAUGGGUCAGCGACUUAUAUUCUGUAGCAAGGUUAACCGAAUAGGGGAGCCGAAGGGAAACCGAGUCUUAACUGGGCGUUAAGUUGCAGGGUAUAGACCCGAAACCCGGUGAUCUAGCCAUGGGCAGGUUGAAGGUUGGGUAACACUAACUGGAGGACCGAACCGACUAAUGUUGAAAAAUUAGCGGAUGACUUGUGGCUGGGGGUGAAAGGCCAAUCAAACCGGGAGAUAGCUGGUUCUCCCCGAAAGCUAUUUAGGUAGCGCCUCGUGAAUUCAUCUCCGGGGGUAGAGCACUGUUUCGGCAAGGGGGUCAUCCCGACUUACCAACCCGAUGCAAACUGCGAAUACCGGAGAAUGUUAUCACGGGAGACACACGGCGGGUGCUAACGUCCGUCGUGAAGAGGGAAACAACCCAGACCGCCAGCUAAGGUCCCAAAGUCAUGGUUAAGUGGGAAACGAUGUGGGAAGGCCCAGACAGCCAGGAUGUUGGCUUAGAAGCAGCCAUCAUUUAAAGAAAGCGUAAUAGCUCACUGGUCGAGUCGGCCUGCGCGGAAGAUGUAACGGGGCUAAACCAUGCACCGAAGCUGCGGCAGCGACGCUGAUGCGUUGUUGGGUAGGGGAGCGUUCUGUAAGCCUGCGAAGGUGUGCUGUGAGGCAUGCUGGAGGUAUCAGAAGUGCGAAUGCUGACAUAAGUAACGAUAAAGCGGGUGAAAAGCCCGCUCGCCGGAAGACCAAGGGUUCCUGUCCAACGUUAAUCGGGGCAGGGUGAGUCGACCCCUAAGGCGAGGCCGAAAGGCGUAGUCGAUGGGAAACAGGUUAAUAUUCCUGUACUUGGUGUUACUGCGAAGGGGGGACGGAGAAGGCUAUGUUGGCCGGGCGACGGUUGUCCCGGUUUAAGCGUGUAGGCUGGUUUUCCAGGCAAAUCCGGAAAAUCAAGGCUGAGGCGUGAUGACGAGGCACUACGGUGCUGAAGCAACAAAUGCCCUGCUUCCAGGAAAAGCCUCUAAGCAUCAGGUAACAUCAAAUCGUACCCCAAACCGACACAGGUGGUCAGGUAGAGAAUACCAAGGCGCUUGAGAGAACUCGGGUGAAGGAACUAGGCAAAAUGGUGCCGUAACUUCGGGAGAAGGCACGCUGAUAUGUAGGUGAAGUCCCUCGCGGAUGGAGCUGAAAUCAGUCGAAGAUACCAGCUGGCUGCAACUGUUUAUUAAAAACACAGCACUGUGCAAACACGAAAGUGGACGUAUACGGUGUGACGCCUGCCCGGUGCCGGAAGGUUAAUUGAUGGGGUCAGCGCAAGCGAAGCUCUUGAUCGAAGCCCCGGUAAACGGCGGCCGUAACUAUAACGGUCCUAAGGUAGCGAAAUUCCUUGUCGGGUAAGUUCCGACCUGCACGAAUGGCGUAAUGAUGGCCAGGCUGUCUCCACCCGAGACUCAGUGAAAUUGAACUCGCUGUGAAGAUGCAGUGUACCCGCGGCAAGACGGAAAGACCCCGUGAACCUUUACUAUAGCUUGACACUGAACAUUGAGCCUUGAUGUGUAGGAUAGGUGGGAGGCUUUGAAGUGUGGACGCCAGUCUGCAUGGAGCCGACCUUGAAAUACCACCCUUUAAUGUUUGAUGUUCUAACGUUGACCCGUAAUCCGGGUUGCGGACAGUGUCUGGUGGGUAGUUUGACUGGGGCGGUCUCCUCCUAAAGAGUAACGGAGGAGCACGAAGGUUGGCUAAUCCUGGUCGGACAUCAGGAGGUUAGUGCAAUGGCAUAAGCCAGCUUGACUGCGAGCGUGACGGCGCGAGCAGGUGCGAAAGCAGGUCAUAGUGAUCCGGUGGUUCUGAAUGGAAGGGCCAUCGCUCAACGGAUAAAAGGUACUCCGGGGAUAACAGGCUGAUACCGCCCAAGAGUUCAUAUCGACGGCGGUGUUUGGCACCUCGAUGUCGGCUCAUCACAUCCUGGGGCUGAAGUAGGUCCCAAGGGUAUGGCUGUUCGCCAUUUAAAGUGGUACGCGAGCUGGGUUUAGAACGUCGUGAGACAGUUCGGUCCCUAUCUGCCGUGGGCGCUGGAGAACUGAGGGGGGCUGCUCCUAGUACGAGAGGACCGGAGUGGACGCAUCACUGGUGUUCGGGUUGUCAUGCCAAUGGCACUGCCCGGUAGCUAAAUGCGGAAGAGAUAAGUGCUGAAAGCAUCUAAGCACGAAACUUGCCCCGAGAUGAGUUCUCCCUGACCCUUUAAGGGUCCUGAAGGAACGUUGAAGACGACGACGUUGAUAGGCCGGGUGUGUAAGCGCAGCGAUGCGUUGAGCUAACCGGUACUAAUGAACCGUGAGGCUUAACCUUACAACGCCGAAG